UACGUAGGGUGCAAGCGUUAAUCGGAAUUACUGGGCGUAAAGCGUGCGGAGGCGGUUUUGUAAGUUUGUCGUGAAAUCCCCGGGCUCAACCUGGGAAUUGCGAUGAAGACUGCAAGGCUAGAAUCUGGCAGAGGGGGGUAGAAUUCCACGUGUAGCAGUGAAAUGCGUAGAGAUGUGGAGGAACACCGAUGGCGAAGGCAGCCCCCUGGGUCAAGAUUGACGCUCAUGCACGAAAGCGUGGG
rnacentral:rRNA from 1 species